rnacentral:rRNA from 1 species
GACGAACGCUGGCGGCGUGCUUAACACAUGCAAGUCGAACGGAAAGGCCCUGCUUUUGUGGGGUGCUCGAGUGGCGAACGGGUGAGUAACACGUGAGUAACCUGCCCUUGACUUUGGGAUAACUUCAGGAAACUGGGGCUAAUACCGGAUAGGAGCUCCUGCUGCAUGGUGGGGGUUGGAAAGUUUCGGCGGUUGGGGAUGGACUCGCGGCUUAUCAGCUUGUUGGUGGGGUAGUGGCGUACCAAGGCUUUGACGGGUAGCCGGCCUGAGAGGGUGACCGGCCACAUUGGGACUGAGAUACGGCCCAGACUCCUACGGGAGGCAGCGGUGGGGAAUAUUGCACAAUGGGCGGAAGCCUGAUGCAGCAGCGCCGCGUGCGGGAUGACGGCCUUCGGGUUGUAAACCGCUUUCGCCUGUGACGAAGCGUGAGUGACGGUAAUGGGUAAAGAAGCACCGGCUAACUACGUG